AGCAGCCGCGGUAAUUCCAGCUCCAAUAGCGUAUAUUAAAGUUACUGCAGUUAAAAAGCUCGUAGUUGAAUUUCGGGAUCAAUAUGUUGGUCGUGCCUUGGUGCGUACUAGUUUAUUGAUUUCUCCCUUCUGACGAACUAUGAUGCCAUUAAUUUGGUGUCAUGGGGAAUCAGGACUGUUACUUUGAAAAAAUUAGAGUGUUUAAAGCAGGCUCACGCUUGAAUACAUUAGCAUGGAAUAAUAAAAUAGGACGUUUGAUUCUAUUUUGUUGGUUUCUAGGAUCGACGUAAUGAUUAAUAGGGAUAGUUGGGGGCAUUAGUAUUCAAUUGUCAGAGGUGAAAUUCUUGGAUUUAUUGAAGACUAACUACUGCGAAAGCAUUUGCCAAGGAUGUUUUCACUAAUCAAGAACGAAAGUUAGGGGAUCGAAGACGAUCAGAUACCGUCGUAGUC
rnacentral:rRNA from 1 species